CUAGGAAAUACGGAGGAAGCAGACUUCCAGGAACCACUGAAGGUCAUCGGCUUCCAACAUUUCUGACUAAGAACUGCAUAGGAAGUGCUUCGUCUGUUGUCUAUUAAUUAGAAAGGGAGAAUAAAGUCUAUCGACGUGUGCCAGCAAGUGGUUUGUGUGGAGUAGAUGUUCGCUGGAGCUGCAGAGCUCGAUGUGAAUGGACCAGCUCUCUGCAACACAGAAGGAAAUCAACCCACAGAACAGUAGGAAAAUGAAUAUGGAAAUACCAGUAUGAAAGAAAUCAGGAAACCUGUUUAUCUGCCGUGUUCUGCCAAAUGAACAAUCAGAAAAUGUGGUGUUUUUUUUCUCCUCAUGGCUUUUUCAGUUGCAAGAAUUUAGGCAAAGUGAGAGUCUUAACCAGUGAUUAAGAAAUAAUGAUGUUAACGAAACAAGUCUGAAAAUUUUCGUCUUUUUCAUCAUCUCCUUUGAAGGUUUACAUAAAAGAAGAUGCAGUAAUUUUACAUGGAAAUCUGGAGCAGUGUGAUGCAAUCGUAAAACCAGAAUUCUAUAUUAUGUCCCCGGUGCCCAGCAUUUCUGGUCGACUGCCACACAGCCUGUCAGAAAUGCAGGGCCUAGGGGCCUGGCAUGAACCAUCUGAAUUCAGUGCAUUUGUUUUCUCCAUUAGAAGAUUGAUGGAGAUACUUUUCUUAGGAUGCUGAGUUUGAGUCAUCUCCUGUCCACAAUGAAGUAUCUCCAAGGAAGGAGGUGUGGCAGCCCUAUGGCUGACGUUAUAUAUUCUCUGGCAUCAUCCUCCAUCGCAGAGCUGCAUCUCUGAAAUCCAGUUCAUUUCAAGAGUUACAGCAGUCUGAAUAAUAGAAGUAAUGUACCUUAGGAAUCAGAGAAUUGGGCUUUCUACCUGUCUGGAUGUG